GUCAGGCAUGGGUUAAUGGCCACCAUGUAGGAAGAUAUUGGACUUUGGUUGCACCAAAUAAUGGAUGUGGAAGAACUUGUGAUUAUCGUGGUGCUUACCACUCUGAUAAAUGUAGGACAAACUGUGGAGAGAUUACUCAGGCCUGGUACCAUAUACCUAGAUCAUGGCUAAAGACAUUAAAUAAUGUACUAGUUAUCUUUGAAGAAACAGAUAAAACUCCGUUUGAUAUUUCCAUUUCUACGCGUUCUACUGAAACCAUUUGUGCUCAAGUAUCGGAAAAGCACUAUCCACCUCUACAUAAGUGGUCUCAUUCGGAGUUUGACAGAAAGUUG
rnacentral:misc_RNA from 1 species